CAAAGGAAGCGAUUCCGGCGGGGGAUGGGCAUGCGGCGCAUUAGCUAGUCGGCGGGGUAACGGCCCACCGAGGCGACGAUGCGUAGGGGUUCUGAGAGGAAGGUCCCCCACACUGGUACUGAGACACGGACCAGACUCCUACGGGAGGCAGCAGUGAGGAAUAUUGGUCAAUGGGCGGGAGCCUGAACCAGCCAAGUCGCGUGAGGGAAGACGGUCCUAUGGAUUGUAAACCUCUUUUGCCGGGGAGCAACGGGGUCCUUGCGAGGGCCUAAUGAGAGUACCCGGAGAAAAAGCAUCGGCUAACUCCGUGCCAGCAGCCGCGGUAAUACGGAGGAUGCGAGCGUUAUCCGGAUUUAUUGGGUUUAAAGGGUGCGUAGGCGGGCUGUUAAGUCAGCGGUCAAAUGUCGGGGCUCAACCCCGGCCUGCCGUUGAAACUGGUGGCCUCGAGUGGGCGAGAAGUAUGCGGAAUGCGUGGUGUAGCGGUGAAAUGCAUAGAUAUCACGCAGGACUCCGAUUGCGAAGGCAGCAUACCGGCGCCCGACUGACGCUGAGGCACGAAAGCGUGGGUAUCGAACAGGAUUAGAUACCCUGGUAGUCCACGCAGUAAACGAUGAAUGCUAGCUGUCCGGGGCUUCGG
rnacentral:rRNA from 1 species